UACGUAGGGGCGAGCGUUGUCCGGAUUAUUGGGCGUAAAGAGCGUGUAGGCGGUUCGGUAAGUCUGUCGUGAAAUCCCCGGGCUCAACCUGGGAAUUGCGAUGGAGACUGCAAGGCUAGAAUCUGGCAGAGGGGGUAGAAUUCCACGUGUAGCAGUGAAAUGCGUAGAGAUGUGGAGGAACACCGAUGGCGAAGGCAGCCUCCUGGGCUAGUACUGACGCUCAUGCACGAAAGCGUGGGGAGCAAACAGG
rnacentral:rRNA from 1 species